rnacentral:rRNA from 1 species
GAGGAGCUUGCUCCUUUGACGUUAGCGGCGGACGGGUGAGUAACACGUGGGUAACCUACCUAUAAGACUGGAAUAACUCCGGGAAACCGGGGCUAAUGCCGGAUAACAUGUUGAACCGCAUGGUUCAACAGUGAAAGACGGUCUUGCUGUCACUUAUAGAUGGACCCGCGCCGUAUUAGCUAGUUGGUAAGGUAACGGCUUACCAAGGCAACGAUACGUAGCCGACCUGAGAGGGUGAUCGGCCACACUGGAACUGAGACACGGUCCAGACUCCUACGGGAGGCAGCAGUAGGGAAUCUUCCGCAAUGGGCGAAAGCCUGACGGAGCAACGCCGCGUGAGUGAUGAAGGUCUUCGGAUCGUAAAGCUCUGUUGUUAGGGAAGAACAUAUGUGUAAGUAACUGUGCACAUCUUGACGGUACCUAACCAGAAAGCCACGGCUAACUACGUGCCAGCAGCCGCGGUAAUACGUAGGUGGCAAGCGUUAUCCGGAAUUAUUGGGCGUAAAGCGCGCGUAGGCGGUUUUUUAAGUCUGAUGUGAAAGCCCACGGCUCAACCGUGGAGGGUCAUUGGAAACUGGAAAACUUGAGUGCAGAAGAGGAAAGUGGAAUUCCAUGUGUAGCGGUGAAAUGCGCAGAGAUAUGGAGGAACACCAGUGGCGAAGGCGGCUUUCUGGUCUGUAACUGACGCUGAGGUGCGAAAGCGUGGGGAUCAAACAGGAUUAGAUACCCUGGUAGUCCACGCCGUAAACGAUGAGUGCUAAGUGUUAGGGGGUUUCCGCCCCUUAGUGCUGCAGCUAACGCAUUAAGCACUCCGCCUGGGG